CAGAGGGGGGGCUCCGUUGUCCUGUAAUUUCCUGGUAAAUUAAACAGGCUCCUAAAGACGGGUUUGUCUCUUUCAACUGUGAAAAACCCCGCAGGCUCUAACUGGCGGAGCUUGCCAGGCGAAUACGGGCAGGACUUGUAAUACUGCAAGGGGAGACUGGAAAUUUCCUGGUUGUAGACGAUGAAAAUGCGCAGAUAUCUGGGAGGAACACCGGUGUACCAAGGCGGUUCCUCUGGGCAGUAACUGACGCUGAAGGAACGAAAGCGUGGUAGCGAACAGGAUUAGAUACCCUGGUAGUCCACGCCGUUAAACGGUGGGCGCUAGGUGUGGGUUUCCUUCCACGGUGAUCCGUGCCGUAGCUAACGCAUUAGGCGCCCCGCCUGGGGAGUACGGCCGCAGGGCUAACACUCAAAAGGAAUUGACGGGGCGCCCGCACAAGCGUCGGACCAUGUGUAUUAAUUCUUAUGCAACGGCGAAGAACCUUACCUGGGUUUUGACAUACACCGACCGCCCCAGAGAUGGGGUUUCCCUUGGGAUCUGGUUUAAAGUGUUGAAUGGGUUGGUCAUCAAACCCGUGUCGAGAAAUGUUGGGUUAGUUCCGCAACAAGCGCAACCCUUUGUCCUGUUUUGCCACCAGUUAAAGUUGGUGACUCCCGGGAAACUGCCGGGGACACUUCGGAGGAAGGGGGGGACAACCCAAGUCUUCGGCCCUUUUUGCCAGGGAUUACACUGUUAAAAUGGCGGGAAAAAGGGCCCAAUCCCCGGGGGAGCGAACCUUAAGGCGUUCCAUUCGAAUGGGUCCCACCCACCCUUAAGGGAUCCCUAACCCAAAACCCUCGGAGA
rnacentral:rRNA from 1 species